GACAUAGCUCAGUGAUAUAGCAUCUGCUUUCCAUACAGACGGGUGCCAAGUUCAAUCCCUGCCAUCUCCA